rnacentral:rRNA from 1 species
GGGAGGGGUGCGAGCGUUAAUCGGAAUUACUGGGCGUAAAGGGCGCGUAGGCGGGUUAUUUAAGUUGGGCUGUGGAAGACCCGGGGCUUAACCUGGGACGGCCAGUCAAAACUGGAUAACUAGAGUGCAGUAGAGGAAAGCGGAAUUUCCGGUGUAGCGGUGAAAUGCGUAGAUAUCGGAAGGAACACCCGUGGCGAAGGCGGCUUUCUGGGCUGCUACUGACGCUGAGGCGCGAAAGCGUGGGGAGCAAACAGGAUUAGAUACCCUGGUAGUCCACGCUGUAAACGAUGAGUACUAGCUGACGGGAGCCAAUGAGCUUUCGGUGGCGUAGCAAACGCGCUAAGUACUCCGCCUGGGGAGUACGACCGCAAGGUUA